rnacentral:rRNA from 1 species
AACGAACGCUGGCGGCAUGCCUAACACAUGCAAGUCGAACGAGACCUUCGGGUCUAGUGGCGCACGGGUGCGUAACGCGUGGGAACCUGCCCUUAGGUUCGGAAUAACUCCCCGAAAGGGGUGCUAAUACCGGAUAAUGUCUUCGGACCAAAGAUUUAUCGCCUUUGGAUGGGCCCGCGUUGGAUUAGCUAGUUGGUAGGGUAAAAGCCUACCAAGGCGACGAUCCAUAGCUGGUCUGAGAGGAUGAUCAGCCACACUGGGACUGAGACACGGCCCAGACUCCUACGAGAGGCAGCAGUGGUGAAUAUUGGACAAUGGGCGAAAGCCUGAUCCAGCAAUGCCGCGUGAGUGAUGAAGGCCUUAGGGUUGUAAAGCUCUUUUACCCGGGAUGAUAAUGACUGUACCGGGAGAAUAAGCUCCGGCUAACUCCGU